rnacentral:rRNA from 1 species
AUUGAACGCUGGCGGCAUGCUUUACACAUGCAAGUCGGACGAGUGGCGGACGGGUGAGUAAUGCUUGGGAAUCUAGCUUAUGGAGGGGGAUAACUACGGGAAACUGUAGCUAAUACCGCGUACCAUAGGAUGAGCCCACGUGGGAUUAGGUAGUUGGUGAGGUAAAGGCUCACCACGCCGACGAUCCCUAGCUGGUCUGAGAGGAUGACCAGCCACACUGGAACUGAGACACGGUCCAUACUCCUACGGGAGGCAGCAGUGGGGAAGAUUGCACAAUGGGCGCAAGCCUGAUGCAGCCAUGCCGCGUGUGUGAAGAAGGCCUUCGGGUUGUAAAGCACUUUCAGCGGGGAGGCGUUACCCGCAGAAGAAGCACCGGCUAACUCCGUGCCAGCAGCCGCGGUAAUUC